GUCGGGUUGUGAGGGUUUCCAGACAUUAGGACCACUGAACUGUCUCGAAGUAGAAGGUUUAAGCGACUAAACUGGCAGUAUAAACAUACAAUGAGAUUCGUCAGAUUCAGAAUGCUCAGAGCACAAACACACAACAGAAAAAUAGGUGUUCAACAUGUAACACGGACGUAAACAACAUGUUAGUAAGAUCCAGUUGGACUUGCGAAUCGGCUCGACCGGUGAAUGAAAAGAACCGAUUCAUUCCCGAAUCGCAUAUCACUACGGUUCAGUACAGUUUGUUCUCGCGCCUUUUAACCGCAGGUGCAGAAACAAAAAUUAUACAAAUGGUUCUUUUUUUAGGAAACAACCAUGCAACAAGAUUAUAGAGGCCGAAUGUCUCAGUUUAUAAUCGUGCACCAAAAAAAAAUCACGAACAACGUGACAAGAAAACCCGCCAGAAACACGCACUGGAGCGAUAGCACGCGACCAUGAGCGUGUGAGCUGCGUUUUACCCAGAAUGACUUCUGCACCACAUUAAAGCGGAAGGGGUGUGGGUGAACAGCCAUACACACACUUCUCACGCACAUAUACGUGCAUAGAAGCACACACACACACACACACACACACAC